UGAAUCACAGCUGUCAUCGUUUAUCUGUCAAAGGGAUUUGAUUAAUCGCACAGCAAAAUAAAAUUAUUAAUUAGGGUCACUUAGAAAUCAAUGUGAGGUGGUAAAGGUUUCGCGUACUCAUACACCUGUCUUAUCCAAAUUAUUGUACAAAGUUGUCAAAGUAGUCACAGGUUGAAUCGGAUAGUAGGAGUCGCAAUUGGCUGUAUAACCAAUCGUGUUUGCAAAAUAACUCGCCAUUUUCGAAAUUCAUGAGAAGCAAAUAACCGUUUGUCAAUAACAGACUCUAAGUAAAAGUUUUAAUAUUCACAUGUUUGUAUACUUGUAUAUGGUAUGUACAAAAUAUACGUAUGUAUAGAGUUGUUUUGAACUCAUCAAUUUUGAAAAAUUAAAUUCUAGUUAAAAGCACAAUAUUCUCUGUCAAUUGCUGUUAAUAAACUACUGUCGAAAUUCAAAACGAACUUCCAUAUACUAAAGGGCGUGUUCACUAUUGUAUAUUAAGCCAAGUAAAUAGUCCAAACCAUCUGGAGCACGAAUGCGAGCGCGGAGUGUGAGAGCGAAAUUAAUUAUUGGGAAUAUAUAUAUAAAUGAGUGCUAUAUAAAGUCACUAACAGUAAACGCGUAUUGAGUAUAAGCUAUUGAUGAGCUACAGGAUUUAGAUUGACAUGAUUACUAUAUAUUGUACAAGUACUUACAUAUUUACGCAUAUAUUAGAUUUUAUAUUAAAUCGGAUCAUUGCUAUAUGUAUAGCUAAAUCAAAAAUGGUGUAAUCAUUAUUUCGAUAUAAGCAAACAACAAUGGCACUAUUCAUGGACGGAAAAUAUGAGAAAGAUCACACCUGUCGUGUGUAAAGGCACCUGCUUAAAUAUCUGCUAUAAAUAAGCACACGACCAUUUGUAUGUGUAUGGUACAACAGGCCCAAUGGAAAGAUGAAACGUUUUAAAAAUGCGAAUAGUAACAGAGAGCUCCUCACUCUAUAGCAAUGACAUACGAAAGUAAUGUGUUUUUUCAAAAGAUCAAUACCUCAAUAUACUAAGCGAGAACUUAGAAGUUUUAACAAUUAUAUCGUAAAUGAAACUUUGUACUAUGUUGACUUUAACAAUUUAAAAAAAUAAAUUAAGUAUUUUAAAUUUAA